rnacentral:rRNA from 1 species
UACGUAGGGACCAAGCGUUGUUCGGAUUUACUGGGCGUAAAGGGCGCGUAGGCGGCUUAACAAGUCACUUGUGAAAUCUCCGGGCUUAACCCGGAACGGUCAGCCGAUACUGCAGGGCUAGAGUGCAGAAGGGGCAACUGGAAUUCCUGGUGUAGCGGUGAAAUGCGCAGAUAUCAGGAGGAACACCAAUGGCGAAGGCAGCUCGCUGGAACGGUACUGACGCUGAGGCGCGAAAGCGUGGGGAGCAAACAGG